UCAAAAAUUUGUACUGUUCUAAAUCACCAAUUCAGCUUUUUUAUUCCAAAAAUACUCAACAAUAAUUUCUUACUCAGUCGUGAAAAAAUCUCAAAAACCUGACAUUUAAUCAAUUUAUGUUUUUGGCAGUUAAAAUUUGACCACUUUGUAAUUUUUUGGCAAUUCAAAUUCAUAAUCAAGUUUGGUGUACUAUCUGAAUUAAGCAUCUGUUUUGUUUGCUUUCCUGCCACCACCCUUCUCGGCCGCUUUCCCGUUUCCGCCGAUAACCGUAAUUUGCCCUUCCGCCAUUUGCUGCGCAGAGUUGAAGAAAAAUUAUUCAACAAAUUGUAGAAAAUUGAUUCAACAAAUUGCAGAUUUGGUUUUGAAAAUGACUUGAUCUUCAAUUAAGGUACAAUAUCGCUACCAUCAUAUUUUGAUAAAUCUUAAUGUCUCUCAAUAUACUUUUUAAGGAAUUUUUUGAAUUCCGGUUAUGUUUUUUUUAUCGAGUUGAGUAAAAUAUUAGACGUGUAUGAAGCUUACCUCGUGUCUGAACUCAUCUGGAAGAAUUUAAACUUGAGGUCAGACUAAACACUCGACGGAUUCCUAAGAUUACUUUGUGUUUAAACUUAUCAAACAGAUUCCUUCUCGAGGUAAGCUCAUUAAUACUCGUCGAUAUUUCGCUUACCUCGAGCAUAAACUUAUGGGGUAACACACAAUUCGUGGUGAGGCUGAAAACUCGAAGAGUGUUUAGCCUCACCUCGCGUUUUACUGUUGCCAGAUGGUCUCAAACUCGAGGUAAGCUUUAUACUCGUCAAUUAUAUUUCCUACCUCAAGUUUGAACUAAUCUGUUUAAGUUCAAAUUACUUGAGGUUAGUAUGCUAACUCGACGAGUGUUCAGCCUUACCUCGAGUUUUCCUAUUAUCAGAUGGUCCCAAUCUCGUGGUAAUAAUUAUAAUCAACGAGUAUAAAGUUUACCUCGAUUUGGAAGUUAGUUGGAUUAGUUCGAACUCGAGUAUACUCGACGAAUUUGAUGUACUUCCUUGUGAUCUUAGAUUUUGUAAUGAUUUUACCUUGUGUUAAAUAUCAAAUUAAUAUGAAAUACUUGCAAUAA